UUAAAUUGAAGAGUUUGAUCAUGGCUCAGAUUGAACGCUGGCGGCAGGCCUAACACAUGCAAGUCGAACGGUAACAGGAAGCAGCUUGCUGCUUUGCUGAUGAGUGGCGG
rnacentral:rRNA from 1 species